GACAGAGGCCUCAAGCGUUAGGCGGAAUCACUGGGCUUAAAGCGUGUGUAGGCGGAUCGUUAAGUGUCUUGUGAAAUCCCACGGCUCACCCGUGGAACUGCUGGGCAUACUGGCGAUCUUGGGCCAACUAGGGGCAACUGGAACAAGCGGUGGAGCGGUGAAAUGCGUAGAUAUCGCUUGGAACGCCUAAAGGUGAAAACAGGUUGCUGGGGUUGUGCCGACGCUGAGACACGAAAGCCAGGGGAGCAAACGGG
rnacentral:rRNA from 1 species